rnacentral:lncRNA from 1 species
AUAUGCCCUUUAAAGCAAGUAGAGCACAUUACUCAUCACUCAAUCUCCAGGACCAAGUUAAUGUUCUGUAUAUAGUAAUGUCGACAGCAACAUCUCCCCCAGGUGUAACAACUAAACGUGUCUCCAGACAUUGGCAAAUAUCCUUGGGCCAUGGAGAAAACAUCACCUUCAAUUGAAAACCACUGGGCCACUCUAAUGCCUUCAAGGAAGCCAAGAGUCUCAGGCCCUUCGCCCUUGCUUCUCAGAAAAGAACAGCUAACCAUUGCCAACCAGAAUGCAUAGAAACUGAACUACUUCUGUGUCUGCAAUUGUCAUCUUGGACAAAUUACCUAAACUGCUUGGGCUGAGAUAUGUGAAUUCAGAUAUUGAAGCUUAUUUAUACCUUCAUAAUUCUAUGCUUCCAUAAUGAUUAAAUCCACCAUAGUAAUAAAUAAAGGCCUUAACCACAUGAA